rnacentral:rRNA from 1 species
UACGAAGGGGGCUAGCGUUGUUCGGAAUUACUGGGCGUAAAGCGCACGUAGGCGGAUUGUUAAGUUAGGGGUGAAAUCCCAGGGCUCAACCCUGGAACUGCCUUUAAUACUGGCAAUCUCGAGUCCGAGAGAGGUGAGUGGAAUUCCGAGUAUAGAGGUGAAAUUCGUAGAUAUUCGGAGGAACACCAGUGGCGAAGGCGGCUCACUGGCUCGGUACUGACGCUGAGGUGCGAAAGCGUGGGGAGCAAACAGG